rnacentral:tRNA from 1 species
GCUGCCAUAGCUUAACAGGUAAAGUACGCCACUCGUAAUGGCGCGUUCGGGGUUCGAGUCCUCGUGGCAGCUCCA